UGAGGCGAGAUUGUGUCGGGUAGGCGCAGCUCAACUUGCAAGUGCUGUUUUUUGGCGUAGACGUGCCAGAGGGGGUUAGUAACAUAGGUUAGUAACUUAGGUGGAGUAACUUCCUGUUGACGUUCGAAGUGUUGUCAAACAAAACAGAGGCUGCAUCCGAAACCGCAUACUUCUCUACUAUAUAGUAGGGGAAAAGCAGUAGGCGAGCGAAAAAGUAUGUCUGAAUCCGAAGUAUUCAUAAAAGAGUAGGCGAGAAUUACCUGGGUGAUGUCUAAUUCUCGCGAGAUUCGGACGUGCGUCUACUUAAAGUGCGUCCGAAUAUGCCUACUUACCUACUAUAUAGUAGGGGGAAAACAGUACGUGAAAGGAGCAGUAUGUCCGAAAUCCUCAGUAAUCAUAAAAGAGUAGUCGAGAAGUUCCCGGAUGGCUUACUGCUCCUGCCCAGAUUCUGAAGUGUUCAUCCGAUGGACACUCUUCUAUCCCAGGAGGCCACGGGAGAGGAUACGUCACACUCGAACACGGAGGAGAAAAGCGCGCGGAUGUUUUCAAAUGGACAGAUGAUCACGUGUGUUUAUCCGGUGGAAAGAGGCUGAUGAAGGAAUGAUGGCAUCAAUGGCUUUGAAGCUUUUGUGGUGGAGCAGGACCUGCAAGAUGACAGCGGCAUUUGUGGGGGAAAGAAACCUGAAUAAUGACUGAAUUUAUAUGGUUGGGUGAACUAACCCUUUAAGCCCCCAAAUAGAAACUGGAUGAUCCCCAUGGAGUAACCUGGAGUAAAGUGUCGGACAGUAAUGUCUGCGGAGAUCGAACCAACAACCUUCUGCUUACCUUUAGCCCACUACACCACUAAAAUAAUAAAGCUGAAACAAAAAAAUAGCACAUAAUUGUAAAAAUAUUGAAUGAAAUAUGGCAGGAAACAGAAUUCUGACAUGAAUUAUUAAACAUUUCAAUCAGUUUAAAUGUUUUACAUGCAGUCUUGUUCAUGGAGAGCACAUGAAUGUUUGGAGCAGACACAGCAGCAGCCAGAUUGUCCCGCACAUCUUCUCCCACUCUUGCUUCAAAGUUGGGGGGUCCAGGGGUCCAUCAUCAUCUUCCUCAUCCUCUGGAUCAAAGAUGUCCCCAUUGAGAGGAGCAGCAAUGAGGGACAUUAUAGAUGGCAAAGACAGGUGAAGGUGUUCAUCAGCUGCUUCAUCAGAAUAAAGCUGCAGAAUUGGCACAGCUGUGUUGAGAUGGCAGCAGGGCUGAAAUAUGCGAUUGUAAGAACAAUAAGUUUGAAUAAAGCUUUGUUUCAUGUGUUGUUGACUUGUAUAUGUGUUUAUUUAUUGUGAUGAUUACUUUUAUUCAUUCUAUAACUCAUUUAUGUUUCCUAUUGUCUGUAAAUAAAAUAUAUUUAUUUUA